rnacentral:lncRNA from 1 species
UAAAUAACCAAAGAAUGUAUAUUAAAAUCUCCCUAACCACAUAUAAAAUUUUAAAUCUUGAUUUAACCAGUUUUUUUGGGGGGUGGGGUGGGAUUUGUCAUCCACAUAAGGAAGCAUUCAAACAAAGACCUGAAAACGGUGCGACACGGUGGUGAGAAAGUCGCUGAGUUUGCACAUUUGAUGUCCAUGCCCUCAGGUGGGUGCGGAGAUUUUCAGUACUAACUGCGGUCAGUCCUGGGGUGCAGCUCAGCUUGAACGUGUGCUUGGUGCUUUCAGGUCCCAUCACCUCUACUGUGGCCUAACCGUACAAUAAUGGGGGGUGGGAAGUCCAAACGGUCACAGGAAGAAGGCCAGAGCAGAAAUGGGGAGUGAACUACUACCUAAUUUAACGUCAUCAUUAAUCAUUCUCCACUGGCGAAGUAAGAGAAAUGAGCCUGAGAACGAGCAAGUCUGUUUCCAGGGCCUUCUGACCCUGAGCAGAUGGCCGUGGGCAGCUCACAGAGCGCUCCCUGUGCGUCCUCGCCAGCGGGGUGCGGGUUCCGGUUCUCUCAGCACGGGCACGGUCACAGUCCUGCUCGCCCCUCCCUGUCUCCAGCCCCGGAGCGCCAGCUUCCUGUUUGCCGGCAGCUCAGCGGUCGUCAUGCGGUGUCCUGAUACACCCAUUCAGUGUUUUGAGACUGUUGGAGAAGAGAGGAAUGAGCGGUCUCUGCGUUUCAGGGAGUCGACAUUCUUGGAAUAGAAGAAACGCGUGUCCACUUCUGCGGAUGGCGAUUCCGAUGAAGAUGAAAUGUGUCCAGAGCAGCAGGGGAAGUUUGAAAAAGGAAGUUACCAGUAAUAAUGUAGCAGAAAAUGAAACUCUGCCUGCCAGCUGCGCUGGUCGGAAAACUCGGCUUCAUGAGUGAUGAAAAGCGGCUCCCCAGUUGCAUUGUGAAAAAAUAAUAAGAGAGUAACAUUAAAUCAGACACGCAAAUUAGAAGCAGCCCCAAAGCCCAGGACGCGCAUACCACUAGGCCAAGGGUAAUAUAAAUACUGGUCAUUCAUCCCCUCACUUCCCGAGUCCUGGCUCAGAGGUCCUGAGUCCCAGAGCCGUUCUGCUGUCCUGAAACCUCUCCUCCACUCCACACUGUCACCUUUGUCAGACUCACUCUGCAUCUACAUGGUGGGCACUGGUCCCCUUCCUACAGUACAUCACUUAGUGACUGCCCCAUCCUCAACACCUGAACACUCUGGGCCACAGCGGCUGCUUCCUAAGUAAUUUAAAAUAAAAGCAACCUUUUAAUUCCCAAAUGAAAAACUGCGUUGAGACUUCUCAACGUCUCUUUCCUCAUUUUCCAAAUCAAGCCUCUUGUUUAUCCUCUCACGUGAACAGUGGCACCCCUAGAGCUGUCUUUAUGCUGCUCCACCUUGCACCGUUGGGCUCUAAAUUCCCAUCUGAAGCAGCGCAAUUUUGCUGCUGAUUUCCCAUAGCUGUCAUCAGUCAAUGUGGCAAUGUCUACCUGAAGGCAUC